AGUGAACGCUGGCGGUAGGCCUAACACAUGCAAGUCGAACGGCAGCACAGAGGAGCUUGCUCCUUGGGUGGCGAGUGGCGGACGGGUGAGGAAUACAUCGGAAUCUACUCUGUCGUGGGGGAUAACGUAGGGAAACUUACGCUAAUACCGCAUACGACCUACGGGUGAAAGCAGGGGAUCUUCGGACCUUGCGCGAUUGAAUGAGCCGAUGUCGGAUUAGCUAGUUGGCGGGGUAAAGGCCCACCAAGGCGACGAUCCGUAGCUGGUCUGAGAGGAUGAUCAGCCACACUGGAACUGAGACACGGUCCAGACUCCUACGGGAGGCAGCAGUGGGGAAUAUUGGACAAUGGGCGCAAGCCUGAUCCAGCCAUACCGCGUGGGUGAAGAAGGCCUUCGGGUUGUAAAGCCCUUUUGUUGGGAAAGAAAUCCAUCUGGUUAAUACCCGGAUGGGAUGACGGUACCCAAAGAAUAAGCACCGGCUAACUUCGCGCCAGCCGCCGCGGUAA
rnacentral:rRNA from 1 species